AAAAGGUAAAUUACAUUCAAAGUGUUUUAACACCAUUUGAACGAUGAAGCAAAGUGGAUUAUUAUCAAAAAUUCUCAAAGAAAUAUCUUCAAAACUUACAUGUCACAAUAUGGAUAAAAACUAGAUUUACUUGACCACAGGUAUUAAAAUUAUAUCAGAAAGCAUAAGGAUAUUAGCAGAUAAAGGUUAUUCAUACAUUCAUAUUUCGCUGUUAGACACGUUGCUCCAAAGUUAUGGGCAUAAUUUCCAACACCUGUAGGAUUUGUUGUCCAUCAACUACAGUUGUAUUGAGUAGCAUGUGAAUGACUCUUAUGAAACUUCCUCAACAGCUCUAAGGAUCGUUGAACACGUUAUAAAAACAAAUGUGCAAGAAACUACAACAAAAAAAGUGUAUGUCAAAAGGUCAAAAUUAAUUUUACAACAAAUGGUGGUUAUGCAAUUUUACCUAUUGAGGAAACUAUAGGACAAAAACUGAUUACGGCUAAAUUAUUAUUAUAUUUAGCUCUUGAGUUAAAAAAUAAUAUUGAUGUUGUAAUGAUCCAUCAAAUACUUCAAAUACUUGAUGAGACAAUUAAACUCAAACCACAAGAUUAUGAAGAUCCAAAAUUACAAAAUAAUAGGAUUGGCAAUUUAGUCCGGGGUUAAGUGCGUUAGUAUGAAUAGUUUUAUAGUAUAAUAUAGAGAGAAGCGUGACAAAAUAAUGACUAAUAAUAACAUAAAUAUGUCGUUUUACGGUGCAGAGUUGUUGAAUAAAAUGAUUUCUAAUUUUAAUCUUUGUAUAAAACAAAUUGACUAUUAUCGGAAUUAUAUCCAACCAUUUGAUGUCAACCUGAUAGUGUGUACAAACAACAUUAUCAGACAUACAAUAAGUAUAAUAUUGGAAAAAAAUUAAUUGGCAAUUCGAGUAGACUUGAUGUCAAACAUUAAUAAAGAAAAAGUGAUAUAUGGCUGCUUGGAAAACAAAUAUAGUGGUAUGGAUAUAAUGAAUCAAAAUUAAAUAACAGAAAAAAUUAUAUCAACAGAAAUUAAAAUAGAUGAAACAGUGUGCUAACUAAAAAAAUAUUUACGAUGGAUGAGGCGAUACAACUAUAUUAGGCAUUCAAUUUCAAACAAAUACUCCAUACCUCCAGGACAAAAUUUUAGACACACUACAAAAUUACAAAAUUUUCCUGGAUAAUUUAAAAAAUCUUUUUGUCAACAAUACACUCGAAGCUUUGGCAAAUAUUAGUACAAACUUCCAGCCAACCUCAAAGACUGAAGUUAAAAGUUUUUACAGCAGUGCAGCAACUCAGUUACUCCUUACAAAAGUGAUGUACAGACAUGGAAUAGUCUUGUGAUGAAGUUUUCUUGUCAAGAAGCAUGCAGUUUGCAUCUGAAUGUGGCAACAGAAAAUGUCAAUAUAUGAAAAUUAAUUCAAAUUUAUAAAAUUCAAUAUUUAA